CCUACGGGAGGCAGCAGUGGGGGAUAUUGCACAAUGGGGGGAACCCUGAUGCAGCGACGCCGCGUGGGCGAUGGAGCGCCUCGGCGCGUAAAGCUCUAUCAGCAGGGAAGAAAGAAAUGACGGUACCUGACUAAGAAGCCCCGGCUAACUACGUGCCAGCAGCCGCGGUAAUACGUAGGGGGCAAGCGUUAUCCGGAUUUACUGGGUGUAAAGGGAGCGUAGACGGCAAUGCAAGUCUGGAGUGAAAGGCGGGGGCCCAACCCCCGGACUGCUCUGGAAACUGUAUAGCUGGAGUGCAGGAGAGG
rnacentral:rRNA from 1 species